rnacentral:rRNA from 1 species
CAGCCGCCGCGGUAAAACGGAGGGAGCUAGCGUUGUUCGGAAUUACUGGGCGUAAAGCGCGCGUAGGCGGUUACUCAAGUCAGAGGUAAAAGCCCGGGGCUCAACCCCGGAACUGCCUUUGAAACUAGGUGACUAGAAUCUUGGAGAGGUCAGUGGAAUUCCGAGUGUAGAGGUGAAAUUCGUAGAUAUUCGGAAGAACACCAGUGGCGAAGGCGGCUUACUGGCUCAUACUGGACGCUGAGGUGCGAAAGCGUGGUGAGCAAACAGGAUUAGAUACCCCCGUAGUCCCUGUCUCUUAUAC